rnacentral:lncRNA from 1 species
CGAGCUAAGGAAAAAAGAAUACAUAUACGUAUAUGGAAAAAUAGCAGGAAUCAUAAUGCUGAAACAAAACAAUCAGGAAAAAAGAAAGCCAAGGGGCUUAUUUUUUUUGCAGUGGGGACAGCAGGUGGGAGCUCUCCAAGCCAGACAAAGGAAACCUGAGCAGGAAUUGUGGUGAAGGGACAACCCCAAGGCAAGAGGACCGUGCRGUCACCUCCUCUGGAGCAGGCAGCCGGGAUCGGGAUAGACAGGAGACAUUUUGCAAGACUCAGCACCUGGAGCGGUGCUAACCAGGUGGGGCAGCUCCGAUGUCCGCCAAGCUCUACGUCCUCAUCAGCUGGCCUGACGGCAGCCGCGUGAUCAGCAUCGAGAACAUCAAGGAGCCGCGGAAGCCCUUCCACCUCUACGCGGUGGGCGAGCAGGUGCUGGCCCGCUGCCCCGGCUUUAGUGGGCUCUACUGGGGGAUUGUGGAGGGCAUAAGUGAGCAUAAAGAUAUUUUAGAGAAAAGGCUGCUGGAAGAUAGACAGCUUCUGGAGAAGUURAAAGAAGAACCCGCCAUCCAUAGCAUGAUGCCGCCCCCGCCAAAAAAAUCAAGGAAAACCUUCCCAAAGUGGACCCCGGGGAAUACGUCCAGGAAAUACCACGGCGACAGGACCUACCCUGCCAAGCCGCUGCUGCGGGCUGCCGAGGCAGGCUCGCCCCAUGACGUUGGCAGCUCCUCCGUCAUCAAGGAGAGACGUGCCCUGGGCAGCGCAACGGGAAGUCCCUGCACGCUGGUGGCACCCCACCACCCUGCCAGUGCCUUCAACCCACCGCCCAGCUUCGUGACCCUGGCCGUGCCGGGGACCUCCCAGAGCGAGGAGGACAGGC